UACAGAGGUCUCAAGCGUUGUUCGGAUUCAUUGGGCGUAAAGGGUGCGUAGGCGGCGCGGUAAGUCGGGUGUGAAAUCUCGGAGCUUAACUCCGAAACUGCAUUCGAUACUGCCGUGCUUGAGGACUGGAGAGGAGACUGGAAUUUACGGUGUAGCGGUGAAAUGCGUAGAUAUCGUAAGGAAGACCAGCGGCGAAGGCGGGUCUCUGGACAGUUCCUGACGCUGAGGCACGAAGGUCAGGGGAGCAAACGGG
rnacentral:rRNA from 1 species